AUGAUCUCCGUUAGCAACAGUGACCUCUAUCCAUUCCACGGCAAUAAUCCUGCUCCACCGUCGGCGUUCACCAUCUGCACGUCAGAUCUGUGGAAUCGUCGACUUGGGCACCCCGGAGCUCACUCCCUGUAUACAUUAGCAAACGACUUUCUUAGCUCUUGUAAUAAAAGUGCACACACCCCAUGUAAUGCUUGUCAACUAGGACGCCAAGCACGUCUUCCUUUCUCUUCUUCCUUUAGUAAAACAUUUGCACCUUUUGAUUUAAUACAUUGUGACUUGUGGACCUCUUCCGUUGUAAGCUUCUCCAGUUUUCAAUAUUACCUAGUUGUGCUUGAUGAUUUCACACACUACUCUUGGACGUUUCCCCUACGCAACAAAUCGGACAUCUCCUCUACCCUACAACGCUUUUUCAUGUUCAUCCACACCCAAUACAAUGUCACCAUCAAAGCCAUGCAAUGUGACAAUGGUGGGGAGUUCAUCAACUCCUCCCUCCACUCUUUCUUCUUUGCCAAUGACAUCGCCUAUAGGUUUUAUUGCCGUCACACCUCUCCCCAAAAUGGCAAAGAGGAACGUCUCAUUCGCACUACAAAUGACGUCGUUCGCUCCCUUCUUAUUCAAGCCAACCUUACCCCCCCUUCUGGGUUGAGGCCCUUCACACCGCCACCUACCUCCUAA
rnacentral:rRNA from 1 species